rnacentral:rRNA from 1 species
AUUGAACGCUGGCGGAAUGCUUUACACAUGCAAGUCGAACGGCAGCACGGGAGCUUGCUCCUGGUGGCGAGUGGCGAACGGGUGAGUAAUAUAUCGGAACGUAUCCAAUAAUGGGGGAUAACUAGUCGAAAGAUUAGCUAAUACCGCAUACGCCCUGAGGGGGAAAGCUGGGGAUCUUCGGACCUGGCGUUAAUGGAGCGGCCGAUAUCUGAUUAGCUAGUAGGUGAGGUAAAAGCUCACCUAGGCGACGAUCAGUAGCUGGUCUGAGAGGACGACCAGCCACACUGGAACUGAGACACGGUCCAGACUCCUACGGGAGGCAGCAGUGGGGAAUUUUGGACAAUGGGCGCAAGCCUGAUCCAGCCAUUCCGCGUGAGUGAAGAAGGCCUUCGGGUUGUAAAGCUCUUUCGCAAGGGAAGAAAACUUAUCCUCUAACAUAGGAUGAGGUUGACGGUACCUUGAUAAGAAGCACCGGCUAACUACGUGCCAGCCGCCGCCGUAA